UGUCGAAGGAGAUGUAGUGUAACAUACGAACCUAGAAUUUAGGUUAAUUCAGUUAGAAUUAUUUAGUUAUGUUCUGAUUAUAUUUAUUCUUUUUAUUAAUUACUUAUUUAUUUAUUUUCAGAUACGUAUAAUUAUCUUUUUGUUAAAUCAGAUAAUGAACCAGAUUAAUUAGUUUUUAGGUGGUUUCCUUUUAUCUUGUAAUCUUUGUUAUUAUCGGAUAGGUUUAAAAGUUUUUGAAAAGAUUCUAAGAUCAAAACCAAAUCAGAUCUAGCUAAUCCCCUGAAAACUCUAGCUAAUCUCCUGAAAACUCUAGCUAAUCUCCUGAAAACCCACGUAAAACCCUUUCCCUCACCUUUAUAAAAUCUUACCAGACCCUCAGAAUAAUGUUUCAGAAAUUUUAGUUGACAAAGAGGGAAAAGAAAAGGAUAGCACUCGUGCAGCCCCUUCUUUUCUGUUACCCAGCCACCUCAUCAGAGCACCUUCAGAUCUACACAGACACUGCCAGUCAACCACUUCGUUGAACACCCCACUAUCUGGUCACGAGCUACGACGUGAGUAUUCGGAAGCAGCGCUAAGAGAUGGUGAUUAUGAUGAUGC